rnacentral:rRNA from 1 species
AGUGAACGCUGGCGGUAGGCCUAACACAUGCAAGUCGAACGGCAGCACAGUAAGAGCUUGCUCUUACGGGUGGCGAGUGGCGGACGGGUGAGGAAUACAUCGGAAUCUACUUUUUCGUGGGGGAUAACGUAGGGAAACUUACGCUAAUACCGCAUACGACCUACGGGUGAAAGCAGGGGAUCUUCGGACCUUGCGCGAUUGAAUGAGCCGAUGUCGGAUUAGCUAGUUGGCGGGGUAAAGGCCCACCAAGGCGACGAUCCGUAGCUGGUCUGAGAGGAUGAUCAGCGACACGGGAGCUGAGACGCGGUCCAUACGCCUACGGGAGGCAGCAGUGUGGAAUAUUGGACAAUGGGCGCAAGCCUGACCCAGCGAUACCGCGUGGGUUGAGAAGGCCUUCGGUUUGUAAAGCCCUUUUGUUGGGAAAGAAAAGCAUCAGGUUAAUACCCCGCUGUUCUGACGGUACCCAAAGAAUAAGCACCGGCUAACUUCGUG